GUCGUCGUACCAGGGGAAGCGGGUCGAGGAUGCAGAGUCAUCUCGUCAAACGCUCUCUGCAAACCAAUAGGUGCCGAUUCCAAGCGCACCGACUUCGCCCUCGCCGCCUGAGCGAGCUCUGAAGUCCGUCAGCCCGGGCUAGCUCUCGUCCCGGAUCCUGGCGUCAUCUAGAGAGCCACUGCUCGCAGCCUUCGUCAUCGGGGCUGCGGGGACUCUAAGGUGACUGGGCCUGUCAGCGACUUGUCUGCGUGAUCGCUGAGGCCGAGAAAAUCGUCAGCAGACUGCACCCGGAGAAGCCCUGGUUCCACGCCGUCGGACGCGGGUUCGAUUCCCGCCAUCUCCACCA
rnacentral:tmRNA from 1 species